AACGUAGGGGGCGAGCGUUGUCCGGAAUUACUGGGCGUAAAGGGCGCGUAGGUGGUCCAUUAAGUUAGAGGUGAAAGAUCGGGGCUCAACCCCGAGAUUGCCUCUGAUACUGGUGGACUUGAGUGCAGGAGAGGGGAGCGGAAUUCCCAGUGUAGCGGUGAAAUGCGUAGAUAUUGGGAGGAACACCAGUGGCGAAGGCGGCUCUAUGGACUGUAACUGACACGGAGGCGAGAAAGCGGGGGGAGCGCACAGGCUUCGAUAACACUGUAGUCC
rnacentral:rRNA from 1 species